AGUCAUCAACCCCUCCCGUUUCGUGCGGUGAGGUGCGUUGGAGCUGGGGGCUUUGCGGCCGUGAGGUUCGCUCCCCUCAAAUGCUUCGGUUGGGCCUGCGGGUCGAACUCGGUUUGGGCGUUGUACCAUCCUCGCUCCUGUCCGAGACGUUCCUGCCUACGAGAGCCCUCCCUUGACCGCCUGUAGGGCCGCGGUCGCUUCUUUUGAA
rnacentral:misc_RNA from 1 species